AUUGAACGCUAGCGGGAUGUUUUACACAUGCAAGUCGAACGCGUGGCGGACGGGUGAGUAAUAUAUCGGAACGUGCCCAGUAGCGGGGGAUCACUACUCGACAGUGUGGCUAAUACCGCAUACUCUUGUGGCGCCCGAUGUCGGAUUGGCUAGGUGGUGGGGUAAAGGCUCACCAAGGCAACGAGCCGUAGCUGGUUUGAGAGGACGACCAGCCACACGGGGACUGAGACACGGCCCAGACUCCUACGGGAGGCAGCAGGGGGGAAUUUUGGACAAUGGGGGAAACCCUGAUCCAGCCAUCCCGCGUGUAUGAGAAGGCCUUCGGGUUGUAAAGUACUUUUGGCAGAGAAGCGGUAUCUGCAGAAUAAGCACCGGCUAACUACGUGCCAGCAGCCGCGGUAAUAC
rnacentral:rRNA from 1 species